rnacentral:rRNA from 1 species
AUUGAACGCUGGCGGCAGGCUUAACACAUGCAAGUCGAGCGAGUGGCGGACGGGUGAGUAAUGUCUGGGCAACUGCCUGAUGGAUGGGGAUAACUACUGGAAACGGUAGCUAAUACCGCCUACCAUCGGAUGUGCCCAGAUGGGAUUAGCUAGUUGGUGUGGUAAAGGCUCACCUAGGCGACGAUCCCUAGCUGGUCUGAGAGGAUGACCAGCCAAACUGGAACUGAAACACGGUCCAAACUCCUAUGGGAGGCAGCAGUGGGGAAUAUUGCACAAUGGGGGCAAGCCUGAGGCAGCCAUGCCGCGUGUAGGAAGAAGGCCUUCGGGUUGUAAAGUACUUUCAGCGGGGAGGCGUUACCCGCAGAAGAAGCACCGGCUAACUCCGUGCCAGCAGCCGCGGUAAUUC